rnacentral:piRNA from 1 species
GAUACCCUGAGAAGCCAUCAGGAAUAGG